rnacentral:rRNA from 1 species
GUCUAUGGCCAUGCUACCCUGAACAAGUCUGAUCCCGUCUGAUCUCGGAAGCCAAGCACAUUCGGGCCUGGUCAGUGGUUGGAUAGGAGACCACCUAGGAAGACGAAGUGCUGUAGGCA